UAUCCCAUUUUAGUACCAUUCAUUCCCUCCACCACGAAUGUGUGGCUAUGCUAAUGGGAGAGAGAAACGCUGUCAUAGUCUGAAGGGGGGACUGGCCUUGUCCAUCCGUCCUAUAUGAAAUGACAGUACAUCGCUCG